rnacentral:rRNA from 1 species
AUUGAACGCUGGCGGCAGGCUUAACACAUGCAAGUCGAACGAGUGGCGGACGGGUGAGUAAUGCUUGGGAAUCUAGCUUAUGGAGGGGGAUAACUGCGGGAAACUGUAGCUAAUACCGCGUACCAUAGGAUGAGCCCAAGUUGGAUUAGGUAGUUGGUGGGGUAAAGGCUCACCAAGCCGACGAUCCCUAGCUGGUCUGAGAGGAUGACCAGCCACACUGGGACUGAGACACGGCCCAGACUCCUACGGGAGGCAGCAGUGGGGAAGAUUGCGCAAUGGGCGAAACCUGACGCAGCCAUGCCGCGUGAAUGAAGAAGGCCUUCGGGUUGUAAAGUUCUGUCGGUAGCGAGGCGUUAACUACAGAAGAAGCACCGGCUAACUCCGUGCCAGCCGCCGCGGUAAUAC